rnacentral:rRNA from 1 species
GGCUGGGGGUGAAAGGCCAAUCAAACCGGGAGAUAGCUGGUUCUCCCCGAAAGCUAUUUAGGUAGCGCCUCGUGAAUUCAUCUCCGGGGGUAGAGCACUGUUUCGGCAAGGGGGUCAUCCCGACUUACCAACCCGAUGCAAACUGCGAAUACCGGAGAAUGUUAUCACGGGAGACACACGGCGGGUGCUAACGUCCGUCGUGAAGAGGGAAACAACCCAGACCGCCAGCUAAGGUCCCAAAGUCAUGGUUAAGUGGGAAACGAUGUGGGAAGGCCCAGACAGCCAGGAUGUUGGCUUAGAAGCAGCCAUCAUUUAAAGAAAGCGUAAUAGCUCACUGGUCGAGUCGGCCUGCGCGGAAGAUGUAACGGGGCUAAACCAUGCACCGAAGCUGCGGCAGCGACGCUGAUGCGUUGUUGGGUAGGGGAGCGUUCUGUAAGCCUGUGAAGGUGUGCUGUGAGGUAUGCUGGAGGUAUCAGAAGUGCGAAUGCUGACAUAAGUAACGAUAAAGCGGGUGAAAAGCCCGCUCGCCGGAAGACCAAGGGUUCCUGUCCAACGUUAAUCGGGGCAGGGUGAGUCGACCCCUAAGGCGAGGCCGAAAGGCGUAGUCGAUGGGAAACAGGUUAAUAUUCCUGUACUUGGUGUUACUGCGAAGGGGGGACGGAGAAGGCUAUGUUGGCCGGGCGACGGUUGUCCCGGUUUAAGCGUGUAGGCUGGUUUUCCAGGCAAAUCCGGAAAACUAAGGCUGAGGCGUGAUGACGAGGCACUACGGUGCUGAAGCAACAAAUGCCCUGCUUCCAGGAAAAGCCUCUAAGCAUCAGGUAACAUCAAAUCGUACCCCAAACCGACACAGGUGGUCAGGUAGAGAAUACCAAGGCGCUUGAGAGAACUCGGGUGAAGGAACUAGGCAAAAUGGUGCCGUAACUUCGGGAGAAGGCACGCUGAUAUGUAGGUGAAGUCCCUCGCGGAUGGAGCUGAAAUCAGUCGAAGAUACCAGCUGGCUGCAACUGUUUAUUAAAAACACAGCACUGUGCAAACACGAAAGUGGACGUAUACGGUGUGACGCCUGCCCGGUGCCGGAAGGUUAAUUGAUGGGGUCAGCGCAAGCGAAGCUCUUGAUCGAAGCCCCGGUAAACGGCGGCCGUAACUAUAACGGUCCUAAGGUAGCGAAAUUCCUUGUCGGGUAAGUUCCGACCUGCACGAAUGGCGUAAUGAUGGCCAGGCUGUCUCCACCCGAGACUCAGUGAAAUUGAACUCGCUGUGAAGAUGCAGUGUACCCGCGGCAAGACGGAAAGACCCCGUGAACCUUUACUAUAGCUUGACACUGAACAUUGAGCCUUGAUGUGUAGGAUAGGUGGGAGGCUUUGAAGUGUGGACGCCAGUCUGCAUGGAGCCGACCUUGAAAUACCACCCUUUAAUGUUUGAUGUUCUAACGUUGACCCGUAAUCCGGGUUGCGGACAGUGUCUGGUGGGUAGUUUGACUGGGGCGGUCUCCUCCUAAAGAGUAACGGAGGAGCACGAAGGUUGGCUAAUCCUGGUCGGACAUCAGGAGGUUAGUGCAAUGGCAUAAGCCAGCUUGACUGCGAGCGUGACGGCGCGAGCAGGUGCGAAAGCAGGUCAUAGUGAUCCGGUGGUUCUGAAUGGAAGGGCCAUCGCUCAACGGAUAAAAGGUACUCCGGGGAUAACAGGCUGAUACCGCCCAAGAGUUCAUAUCGACGGCGGUGUUUGGCACCUCGAUGUCGGCUCAUCACAUCCUGGGGCUGAAGUAGGUCCCAAGGGUAUGGCUGUUCGCCAUUUAAAGUGGUACGCGAGCUGGGUUUAGAACGUCGUGAGACAGUUCGGUCCCUAUCUGCCGUGGGCGCUGGAGAACUGAGGGGGGCUGCUCCUAGUACGAGAGGACCGGAGUGGACGCAUCACUGGUGUUCGGGUUGUCAUGCCAAUGGCACUGCCCGGUAGCUAAAUGCGGAAGAGAUAAGUGCUGAAAGCAUCUAAGCACGAAACUUGCCCCGAGAUGAGUUCUCCCUGACUCCUUGAGAGUCCUGAAGGAACGUUGAAGACGACGACGUUGAUAGGCCGGGUGUGUAAGCGCAGCGAUGCGUUGAGCUAACCGGUACUAAUGAACCGUGAGGCUUAACCUUACAACG